rnacentral:tRNA from 1 species
GGGGUUGUGGCUCAGUGAUAGAGCGCUCACCUCGCAUGUGUGAGAUCUUAGGUUCUAUCCUCAGCACCA